AUUGAACGCUGGCAGCAGGCUUAACACAUGCAAGUCGAGCGAGCGGCGGACGGGUGUGUAAUGUCUGGGAAACUGCCUGAUGGAGGGGGAUAACUACUGGAAACGGUAGCUAAUACCGCAUAGCAUCAGCUGUGCCCAGAUGGGAUUAGGUAGGUGGAGGGGUAAUGGCUCACCUAGGAGAAGAUCCCUAGCUGGUCGGAGAGGAUGACCAGCCACACUGGAACUGAGACCCGGUCCAGACUCCUACGGGAGGCAGCAGUGGGUAAUAUUGCACAAUGGGCGCAAGCCUGAUGCAGCCAUGCCGCGUGUGUGAAGAAGGCCUUCGGGUUGUAAAGCACUUUCAGCGAGGAGGCGUUACUCGCAGAAGAAGCACCGGCUAACUCCGUGCCAGCAGCCGCGGUAAUUC
rnacentral:rRNA from 1 species